rnacentral:rRNA from 1 species
GAUGAACGCUGGCGGCGUGCCUAAUACAUGCAAGUCGAGCGAACAGACGAGGAGCUUGCUCCUUUGACGUUAGCGGCGGUCGGGUGAGUAACACGUGGAUAACCUACCUAUAAGACUGGGAUAACUUCGGGAAACCGGAGCUAAUACCGGAUAACAUGUUGAACCGCAUGGUUCAACAGUGAAAGACGGUCUUGCUGUCACUUAUAGAUGGAUCCGCGCCGCAUUAGCUAGUUGGUAAGGUAACGGCUUACCAAGGCAACGAUGCGUAGCCGACCUGAGAGGGUGAUCGGCCACACUGGAACUGAGACACGGUCCAGACUCCUACGGGAGGCAGCAGUAGGGAAUCUUCCGCAAUGGGCGAAAGCCUGACGGGGCAACGCCGCGUGAGUGAAGAAGGUCUUCGGAUCGUAAAACUCUGUUAUUAGGGAAGAACAAAUGUGUAAGUAACUAUGCACGUCUUGACGGUACCUAAUCAGAAAGCCACGGCUAACUACGUG